GUUACAUCACAUCCCAGGCUGGGAAGAUCAAAGCAGAGCGUUGGCAAGCCGGACCCAUUCGGUGCAGCCAUGCAUGCGGUGCGCCGGGGCAUGGAAUCCCAAGAUGCAGACCCCAGUAGGAGUGAGCAUAGAAUUAUGGAGGUGUGCUACAGAUUCCACGAUGCUUGAAGCCUUUAACCCCAGGUGUUUUUUGACGAGAUCUGCUCCAGCUCACAGAGGAGCUAUAAGCUUGGUGCAGAAAGGAAUAUUCUGGAGGAAGGCUUGCCGUGGAGGUGAAAUAGCAGAUCAACACUGAGGCAGCAAGCUGAGGCUGCGGGGAACAGCUCAGGGGAGAAAUCAAAGGGAAGAUGUCUUUGUUACCGACCCAGCUGCAACUUCCUGCUCCGGUCAGAAAAUACCCGAGGAGGUGACUUGUCAGCGGACUGCAUGCCUUUGCCUCGCCUCGCUUCCCCAUAAUAAAUGAAUAAUGAACUUGUAGGGCA
rnacentral:lncRNA from 1 species